UAGGAUUUGGUUAAGAUUGAUUUAGGAUUUAUUUAGGAUUUGACUAGAAUUUAUUAAUGAUUUGAUUAGGAUUUAUUUAGGAUUUGAUUAAGAUUUGAUUAGAGUUUGUUAGGAUUUGACUAGGAUUUAUUUAAGGUUUGUUUAGGAUUUAUUUAGGAUUUGACUAGGAUUUGUUUAGGAUUUGACUAAGAUUUAUUUAGGAUUUGGUUAGAGUUUGUUAAGAUUUGACUAGGAUUUGAUUAGGAUUUGUGUAGGAUUUGACUAAGAUUUAUUUAAGUUUUGCUUAGGAUUUAGUUAGAAUUUGGUAAGGAUUUAUUUAGAAUUUAUUUAGGAUUUGACUAAGAUUUUUUUAGGACUUGAUUAAAAUUUAUUUAAGAUUUGAUUAAGCUUUGGUUAGAUUCUUUUAGGAUUUUACUAGAAUUUGGUGAGGAUUUAUUUAGGAUUUGACUAGGACUUAUUUAAAAUUUGCUUAGAAUAUAAUUAGGAUUUGGUUAAGAUUUAUUUAAGAUUUAUGAAGGAUUUUAUUAAGAUUUGUUGAGGAUUUGAUUAAGAUUUAUUUAGGAUUUGAUUAAGAUUUGGUUGGAGUUUGUUAGCAUUUGACCCGGAUUUAUUUAAGGUUUGUUUAGGAUUAAGUUAGGAUUUGGUGAGGAUUUAUUUAGAAUUAAUUUAGGAUUUGAUUAGGAUUAGUUUAGGAUUUGAUUAAGAUUUAUUUAGAAUUUGAUUAAGAUUUAGUUAGGAUUUGUUUACGAUUUGACUAGGAUUUAUUUAGGAUUUGCUUAGGAUAUAGUUAGGAUUUGAUUAAGAUUAAUUUAGGAUUUAUUUAGGAUUUGACCAAGAUUUGUUUAAGAUUUGAUUAAGAUUUAUUUAGGAAUUGAUUAAGAUUUGGUUAGAAAUUAUUAAGAUUUGACUAGAAUUUGGUUAGAGUUUGUUAGGAAUUUACUAGGAUUUAUUUAAGGUUUGUUUAGGAUUUAGUUAGGAUUUAGUUAAGAUUUUUUUAGGAUUUAAUUAGGAUUUGAUUAGAAUUUGUUUAGGAUUUGAUUAGAAUUUAUUUAAGAUUUGAUUAAGAUUUGAUUAGAAUUUUUUAGGAUUUGACUAGGAUUUAUUUAAGAUUUUUUUAGGAUUUAGUUUGGAUAUGGUUAGGAUUUAUUUAGGAUUUUUUUAAAGAUUUGACUAGGAUUUGUUUAUGAUUUGAUUAAGAUUUAUUUAGGAUUUGAUUAAGAUUUGGUUAGAGUUUAUUAGGAUUUGAUUAAGAUUUGUUUAGAUUUUGUUAGGAUUUGAUUAGGUUUUGAUUAGGAUUUGUUUAGAAUUUGACUAGAAUUUAUUUAAGAUUUGCUUAGGAUUUAGUUAGGAUUUGGUUAGGAUUUAUUUAGGAUUUAUUUAGGAUUUGAUUAAGAUUUGUUUAGGAUUUGAUUAAAAUUUAUUUAAGAUUUGAUUAAGAUUUAGUUAGAAUUUUUUAGAAUUUUACUAGGAUUUAUUUAAGGUUUAUUUAGGAUUUAGUUAGAAUUUGGUUAUGAUUUAUUUAGGAUUUAUGUAGGAUUUAUUUAAGAUUUGACUAGGAUUUGUUUAGAUUUUGAUUAAGAUUUACUUAGAAUUUGAUUAAGAUUUGAUUAGAGUUUGUUAGGAUUUGACUAGGAUUUGGUUAGGAUUUGUUUAGGAUUUGACUAGGAUUUAUUAAAGGUUUGCUUAAGAUAUAGUUAGGAUUUGGUUAAGAUUUAUUAAAAGAUUACUUAGGAUAUAAUUAGGAUUUUGUUAAGAUUUAUUUAGGAUUUAUUUAAGAUUUGACUAGGAUUUGUUUAGAAUUUGAUUAAGAUUUAUUUAAGAUUUGAUUAAGAACUAGUUAGAGUUUGAUUAAGAUUUGGUUAGAAUUUGUUAGGAUUUGAUUAAGAUUUCUAUUUUUAUAUUUUAUUAAGAUUUCUAUUUUAGUAUAUUUUUGAAUUUCUAUGUUAUUUCUUU
rnacentral:lncRNA from 1 species